AUUGAACGCUGGCGGCAGGCCUAACACAUGCAAGUCGAGCGGAUGCAGGGAGCUUGCUUCUGGAUUCAGCGGCGGACGGGUGAGUAAUGCCUAGGAAUAUGCGUGGUAGUGGGGGAUAACGUGCGGACACGGGCGCUAAUACCGCAUACGUCCUGAGGGAGAAAGGGGGGGAUCUUCGGACCUCACGCUAUCAGAUGAUCCGAGGUCGGAUUAGCUAGUUGGUGGGGUAAAGGCCUACCAAGGCGACGAUCCGUAGCUGGUCUGAGAGGAUGAUCAGCCACACUGGAACUGAGACACGGUCCAGACUCCUACGGGAGGCAGCAGUGGGGAAUAUUGGACAAUGGGCGAAAGCCUGAUCCAGCCAUGCCGCGUGGGUGAAGAAGGUCUUCGGGUUGUAAAGCCCUUUUGUUGGGAAAGAAAAGCAGUAGGUUAAUACCUCGCUGUUUUGACGGUACCAAAAGAAUAAGCACCGGCUAACUUCGUG
rnacentral:rRNA from 1 species